rnacentral:rRNA from 1 species
GACGAACGCUGGCGGCGUGCUUAACACAUGCAAGUCGAACGGAAAGGCCCUGCUUUUGUGGGGUGCUCGAGUGGCGAACGGGUGAGUAACCCGUGAGUAACCUGCCCUUGACUUUGGGAUAACUUCAGGAAACUGGGGCUAAUACCGGAUAGGAGCUCCUGCUGCAUGGUGGGGGUUGGACAGUUUCGGCGGUUGGGGAUGGACUCGCGGCUUAUCAGCUUGUUGGUGGGGUAGUUGCUUACCAAGGCUUUGACGGGUAGCCGGCCUGAGAGGGUGACCGGCCACAUUGGGACUGAGAUACGGCCCAGACUCCUACGGGAGGCAGCAGUGGGGAAUAUUGCACAAUGGGCGGAAGCCUGAUGCAGCAACGCCGCGUGCGGGAUGACGGCCUUCGGGUUGUAAACCGCUUUCGCCUGUGACGAAGCGUGAGUGACGGUAAUGGGUAAAGAAGCACCGGCUAACUACGUG